rnacentral:rRNA from 1 species
GAUGAACGCUGGCGGCGUGCCUAAUACAUGCAAGUCGAGCGAACAGAUGAGGAGCUUGCUCCUCUGACGUUAGCGGCGGACGGGUGAGUAACACGUGGAUAACCUACCUAUAAGACUGGGAUAACUUCGGGAAACCGGAGCUAAUACCGGAUAAUAUAUUGAACCGCAUGGUUCAAUAGUGAAAGACGGUUUUGCUGUCACUUAUAGAAGGAUCCGCGCCGCAUUAGCUAGUUGGUAAGGUAACGGCUUACCAAGGCGACGAUGCGUAGCCGACCUGAGAGGGUGAUCGGCCACACUGGAACUGAGACUCGGUCCAGACUCCUACGGGAGGCAGCAGUAGGGAAUCUUCCGCAAUGGGCGAAAGCCUGACGGAGCAACGCCGCGUGAGUGAUGAAGGUCUUCGGAUCGUAAAACUCUGUUAUUAGGGAAGAACAAAUGUGUAAGUAACUAUGCACGUCUUGACGGUACCUAAUCAGAAAGCCACGGCUAACUACGUG